rnacentral:lncRNA from 1 species
AUUCAAUAUGAGUAUGACCAAAAAGCUACUUACUUCAGUACAUGGAACAGGAUUAAGCUCCUAGAACUGACUAUGGAAUGCAUUUCUAGAGCUACCAGUGUCAACCGCACCUUUCAAGGCAGAUACUACUAAGCAAGCUGAAUGGACAUCACAGACCUGUUCAUGAGUGAUAUCUGUCCACCUAUAUGGGAAGUUCCAGCAACUAUGUUAUCAAGAGUGCUGGGCCAGAUUCGGAAACCCUGUAAAGUUUACAGUUAAGGCAAAAGUGGAGGAGCAAACACUGGAAAGAGGGCCAGAGGACUUCUGCAACCUAGAAGCCCCAAUGAAGUUGCUAUAGAGCUCACCGCAGAAGGACCUCAGUGCACAGAGCAUGGGACUCCUUUUGAGGACCUCUUUUAGACACCAAAAUUGAAGAUCUAGACGUGUAGCCAUCUUUUCUGACUUCAUCUCACCAAA